rnacentral:rRNA from 1 species
GACGAACGCUGGCGGCGUGCUUAACACAUGCAAGUCGAACGGUAAGGCCCUUCGGGUACACGAGUGGCGAACGGGUGAGUAACACGUGGGUGAUCUGCCCUGCACUUCGGGAUAAGCCUGGGAAACUGGGUCUAAUACCGGAUAGGACCAUGGACUUCACGGUUUGUGGUGGAAAGCUUUUGCGGUGUGGGAUGGGCCCGCGGCCUAUCAGCUUGUUGGUGGGGUAAUGGCCUACCAAGGCGACGACGGGUAGCCGGCCUGAGAGGGUGUCCGGCCACACUGGGACUGAGAUACGGCCCAGACUCCUACGGGAGGCAGCAGUGGGGAAUAUUGCACAAUGGGCGCAAGCCUGAUGCAGCGACGCCGCGUGA